AGUCCUACGGGAGGCAGCAGUAGGGAAUCUUCCACAGUGGACGAAAGUCUGAUGGAGCAACGCCGCGUGAGUGAAGAAGGGUUUCGGCUCGUAAAGCUUCGUUGGUAGUGAAGAAAGAUAGAGGUAGUAACUGGCCUUUAUUUGACGGUAAUUACUUAGAAAGUCACGGCUAACUACGUUCCUGCAGCCGCGGUAAUACGUAGGUGGCAAGCGUUGUCCAGAUUUAUUGGGCGUAAAACGAGUGCAGGCGGUUCAA
rnacentral:rRNA from 1 species